rnacentral:rRNA from 1 species
UGCAAGUCGAACGAGGUAGCAAUACCUAGUGGCGCACGGGUGAGUAACGCGUGGAUAAUCUGCCUUUGAGUGGGGGAUAACUAGUCGAAAGAUUAGCUAAUACCGCAUAAGACCACAGGAACUGAGGUUCUAGGGGUUAAAGGUUUUUCGCUCAUAGAUGAGUCCGCGUGAGAUUAGCUAGUUGGUGAGGUAACGGCUCACCAAGGCGACGAUCUCUAACUGGUCUGAGAGGAUGAUCAGUCACACUGGAACUGAGACACGGUCCAGACUCCUACGGGAGGCAGCAGUAGGGAAUAUUGCACAAUGGAGGAAACUCUGAUGCAGCGACGCCGCGUGAGUGAUGAAGGCCUUCGGGUCGUAAAGCUCUGUCGCAGGGGAAUAACACAAUGAAUGUACCCUGUAAGAAAGGAUCGGCUAACUUCGUGCCAGCAGCCGCGGUAA